rnacentral:rRNA from 1 species
AGCGAGCGGAACUAACAGAUUUACUUCGGUAAUGACGUUAGGAAAGCGAGCGGCGGAUGGGUGAGUAACACGUGGGGAACCUGCCCCAUAGUCUGGGAUACCACUUGGAAACAGGUGCUAAUACCGGAUAAGAAAGCAGAUCGCAUGAUCAGCUUUUAAAAGGCGGCGUAAGCUGUCGCUAUGGGAUGGCCCCGCGGUGCAUUAGCUAGUUGGUAAGGUAAAGGCUUACCAAGGCGAUGAUGCAUAGCCGAGUUGAGAGACUGAUCGGCCACAUUGGGACUGAGACACGGCCCAAACUCCUACGGGAGGCAGCAGUAGGGAAUCUUCCACAAUGGACGCAAGUCUGAUGGAGCAACGCCGCGUGAGUGAAGAAGGUUUUCGGAUCGUAAAGCUCUGUUGUUGGUGAAGAAGGAUAGAGGUAGUAACUGGCCUUUAUUUGACGGUAAUCAACCAGAAAGUCACGGCUAACUACGUGCCAGCAGCCGCGGUAAUACGUAGGUGGCAAGCGUUGUCCGGAUUUAUUGGGCGUAAAGCGAGCGCAGGCGGAAGAAUAAGUCUGAUGUGAAAGCCCUCGGCUUAACCGAGGAACUGCAUCGGAAACUGUUUUUCUUGAGUGCAGAAGAGGAGAGUGGAACUCCAUGUGUAGCGGUGGAAUGCGUAGAUAUAUGGAAGAACACCAGUGGCG